GCAAGGAAUUUUGUGCAAUGGGCGAAAGCCUGACACAGCAACGCCGCGUGAGGGAUGAAGGCCUUCGGGUUGUAAACCUCUUUUAUCAGGGAAGAAUAAUGACGGUACCUGAAGAAUAAGCUUCGGCUAACUACGUGCCAGCAGCCGCGGUAAUACGUAGGAAGCGAGCGUUAUCCGACUUUACUGGGCGUAAAGUGGGCGUAGGCGGCCUUUCAAGUUGGAUGUGAAAUCUCCUGGCUUAACUGGGCGGGGUCAUCCAAAACUGCUAGGCUGGAGGACAGCAGGGGAAAGUGGAAUUCCCGUUGUAGUGGUGAAAUGCGUAGAUAGCGGGAGGAACACCAGUGGCGAAGGCGGCCUGCUGGACAUUAACUGACGCUGAGGCGCGAAAGCGUGGGGAGCAAACAGGAUUAGAAACCCGGGUAGUCC
rnacentral:rRNA from 1 species